CACGUAGGGUGCGAGCGUUGUCCGGAAUUAUUGGGCGUAAAGAGCUCGUAGGCGGUGUGUCGCGUCGGCCGUGAAAACCUGCAGCUUAACUGUGGGCUUGCGGUCGAUACGGGCAUCACUGGAGUUCGGCAGGGGAGACUGGAAUUCCUGGUGUAGCGGUGAAAUGCGCAGAUAUCAGGAGGAACACCGGUGGCGAAGGCGGGUCUCUGGGCCGAUACUGACGCUGAGGCGCGAAAGCCAGGGGAGCAAACGGG
rnacentral:rRNA from 1 species